UUUUUUUUGAUGAGAGUAAAAGUUAUUCUACAAUCAGAGCUGCAUUUUAAUACUUUGAAUAACAAAAUAAAAGUAAGCCCAAAGAAGACAAAGGUUUCAGAGCUGGGACCAGUGUCCAGGGAGGGUAGGAGGUGGCCCAAGACAUCCUGCCUACGGUCCCUGCUCUGCUACCUGGUCCCUUCCCAGAGUCCCCAUCUGUCUGUCUCCCCCAUCCUGCUGAAGGUUUAAAGUUGCCUCCCAUUCCUGGAAUAUCUCAGUCUGCUGCUCUAAGUCUUUCGUAUGUCCUCUGCCAGAGCCCCGGCUCACAUUUUCUAGGAAGGGAGAACUUCCCUACUUUUAACGUUUUUUUAAAGCUCCAGUGACCACUUCCUCUCUGAGCAGAUUUCCAUUUCAAAGAGAACAUUACCUUUCCUUGUAGGUCUCUUACACUGGAUUCUUCUUCUUAUUUUUUUUUAAAUUUUCUGCAAGCGGAUACAAACUCUGUAGCUGCCUAGAAUGCCAGGGCUUCUAAUUCAUUCCUGAGUAAAAGCCUAAUCUGUUUUUAUCCUAAAUGACAGAGAAGAUACUUUAGAUACAUAUCAAAAGUAAUUGUUUUUAAAAGAAAUACAAGUCAUGAGUAAAUAUCUUCUCAGACUCACCCUCAGGUUGCAUGGUGGUAUCUUCUAUCAGAUUUCCUAUAAAUAUAUAUCUCUCAUCCCUCCCUGCUACCCCUGGCAUGUUCUAAAGGACUCUGCAUUAAGGAGAUUUUCAUCUACUUUUAAUUGGAUGGGGCUUUAAAGAGAGUGUGGGUAAUUCAUACUUCCAACGUGAAUACCUUGGAAAAUGUUUCCGUGCCAGAGAGAAGGCAGAUUCAAUAUGAUCUAGAUUUAGAUUAUCUCAGUGAAAGAAUCACUUUAACCUCUGCGAUUGAACACCCUGGUUUGGCUCCGUUCUCAGAAGUGCUACAGGCUUAUGAGGUUUGCCACAGCCCCAAAUGAAAAAGCCCCAUAUCAGCAGAAAGCUUUAUUUUCUGAUGCGAAAUCCUUAAUCCAAUUUACGGCAUUCUUGAAAUUGCCGGUUGACUUGCAGCACGGAGCACGGUCUCCCCACCCUGCUUUCCCCCAGAUGAUACGAGACGUGUUCUCUUGAGAUGAUAAUCUUCUCUCUAUUCUUCUGAACCUCUUGGUUUCAGGAAGUUCCAUUUCUUCAAGUUCCAUGAAUAGAAACUUGAAUAAAAAUUUUCUUUUAUAAUAAAGCUCCUUCCUUAGUUCCCAGACAGAAGCAGCUGUAGAGAACACAGCAGGAAUUGAUUUCUUACCCAUGAGGUGAUGUUGACAAUUCUGAUAGGAUGACAACACGGAUGUCACAGGACAAGGGAACAGCAGCAGAUGAAAGGAAAGAUGCCAGCCGGGACAGCCAUCCCUUUCUAAUAAUUCAGGCUGGCGAUGACUCACCAGGAUACUGGUGGGCGACUCUGGUUUCAUUUGCUGACUAGCUGUAAGUAACUCACCAGUGGAGAUACCUCACAGGAUGCUUGAAUUUCAGACAUUCUUCUAAAAUUCAUCUGUUCUGUUUUUUCACAGCAGUUAUUGGGAAAAGAGUCAUACUCAAUUACCUUCUGAAUUUCCAGAGUCCCACACAGGUCUCUGACAUCAAAAUGGAUUAAAAUCACUGGUGCGGAAGAAUCUGGAACUCUGGGGGAGGUCCCUCAGCAGCACAGGAGCCAGGGAGGCCCAGGACUAGCAGGAGGCUGCGUUCAGUCCGUUCUUUGCUCAAUGCGUGCUGAGUGACAGCAUCCCUUCCAGGUGUGGGGCUGGCGGCCCUGGUGAGGUGGGCCUGGAUGAUUCCAAGGGCCCAGCUAGUCUUGGUGUUGCCUGCAACUACGCUGCAAGGAAUGGAGACCCUUUGCAAGCAUCACCACUCUCUCCAGGCCCCUCGCUUUUUCCUUGAGCCAAGCCUCAUCCUUGGUCCUCCUGGAGUGCUCAACCGGCACUGACUGAUGUGGGUGCAGGAUUGACUUUUUGCAAAGACCUUUCUGACACAGACUCAGGCCUGAUUCCCUGCACCAGCAAAGACGGUCUGCAGCUCAAAGCUGACUGAUCUUGCAGUAAUGAUGCCAAAGUCACCCCAAGUGUGCACAAGAUGGAUCAGCCACUUCAAUGUCAUACUGGAGCCACUGCAUGUCACACAGGAGCCCCAUCACACGGGAACCUCUGCCUUGCCAAAUCGGAGUCACUGUUGUGUAAUACAGGAGUCGCUUCCUGUGUCAUCCAGGAGCCACUAUUUGUGUCAUCCAGGAGCCAUGACCCAUGUCAUAGAGGAGUCACUGCCCAGGACAUGCAGCACCCACUACCCAGGACAUGCACAGGUCACACAGGAGUCGCUGCCCGGGUCAUACAGGAGUCACUGCCCGUGUCAUACAGGAGUCACUGCCCGUGUCAUACAGGAGUCGCUGCCCGUGUCAUACAGGAGUCGCUGCCCGGGUCACACAGGAGUCGCUGCCCGGGUCAUAGAGGAGCUACUACCUGUGUCAUGCAGGAGACGCUGCUGAGAUCACAUAGGAGUCGCUGCCCGUGUAACUCAUGCUCAGAUCACAUAGGAGACGCUGCCCGUGUAACUCAUGCUCAGAUCACAAAGGACACACUGCCCAUGUAACUCAUGCUCAGAUCACAUAGGAGACACCGCCCGUGUAACUCAUGCUCAGAUCACAUAGGAGUUGCUGCCCGUGUAACUCAUGCUCAGAUCACAUAGGAGACACUGCCCUUGUAACUCAUGCUCAGAUCACAUAGGAGUCGCUGCCCAUGUAACUCAUGCUCAGAUCACAUAGGAGACACUGCCCGUGUAACUCAUGCUCAGAUCACAUAGGAGACACCGCCCGUGUAACUCAUGCUCAGAUCACAUAGGAGUUGCCGCCCGUGUAACUCAUGCUCAGAUCACAUAGGAGUCGCCGCCCGUGUAACUCAUGCUCAGAUCACAUAGGAGUCGCUGCCCGUGUAACUGAUGCUCAGAUCACAGGAGACGCUGCCCGUGUAACUCAUGCUCAGAUCACAUAGGAGUCGCUGCCCGUGUAACUGAUGCUCAGAUCACAUAGGAGACACCGCCCGUGUAACUGAUGCUCAGAUCACAUAGGAGUCGCUGCCCGUGUAACUCAUGCUCAGAUCACAUAGGAGUCGCCGCCCGUGUAACUCAUGCUCAGAUCACAUAGGAGUCGCUGCCCGUGUAACUGAUGCUCAGAUCACAGGAGACGCUGCCCGUGUAACUCAUGCUCAGAUCACAUAGGAGUCGCUGCCCGUGUAACUCAUGCUCAGAUCACAUAGGAGUCACUGCCCGGGUCACUUAUGUUCAUCAACAUGUCUCCUUUAUUCCACGGCAAGUCCUUAUUAGUCAAAACAGAAAACUACUCACUGAGCUUGUAAUGCCCUAGAUAAAAAAAUGAAGAUUUUUUUUUUUUUUUUUUUGUAACAGAGAUAUGACAUUUUUUCUUUAGGCCAGGACAUUUGUAGUUUUGCAAAGAAAGACCUUGAAAAGACUAAAGCAGGCAGCAAGAGAUACAGUUGCCUCUUGCUCGGUGCUUUAACUGGACAGAAAGAGACACCGUGCUGCUCACUCCUGCCUUCCACAGGCAGCUACUGGCCACUGGUGAGGGAGUGGACUCCAGAGACAACAGGAGGAGAGGAACAGCAAGUGCAGACCAUCCUUUACGGAGUGUUGUAGAAAGAGGAGGAGAAAUGGGCAGUGGCUGGACAGGGGAGUUGGAACAAGAAAGAACUCUUCUUAAAGGAGCCACCAGAGAGGCACAGAAGUCACCUCACAAGGCCUAAGGAAACAGCAAAAUCAUUCUUCGUGGAUACCGCCUUCAUGUGAUAUGAUGAAGAUGACCAAUGAAAAUCUAUAAAC